AUUUGUUGAAGUCUUGUACAAUCAUGAUUUUCAUUUCACAAAUAAGAUUUCAGGUUCCUAAAUAAUUAAUGAUCUCCAAUGCCCAACUCAAUAUUUUCCUCUAUUUCGAAAGAAAUAUUGUUGAUUUUGCUCCAUCGUAUGACUCUACUAUAGAGGAAACGUAUAGAGCAAUCUCUACACUUUUCCUCUAUUUUAGAGUCAACUCUAUUUUAAAACCAUACAAUGAAACAAAAUCAACAAUAUUUCCUCCAAAAUAGAAUGAAUUCUAUUUUAGAAGAAAAUAUUGAAUUGGGCAUUGGAGAUGCUUUAACAGUUUUUUACUUUUAUGUAAACGAAAACGGAAUAAACCCUAAAAAGAAUAUUGAUAUAACAAAUUAAAUUCUCAUUGCUCUUGGCUUAGUAAUAUUGGAAGCUACUUUAAAUUU
rnacentral:sRNA from 1 species